GACGAACGCUGGCGGCGUGCUUAACACAUGCAAGUCGAACGAUGAAGCCCAGCUUGCUGGGUGGAUUAGUGGCGAACGGGUGAGUAACACGUGAGUAACCUGCCCUUGACUUCGGGAUAACUCCGGGAAACCGGGGCUAAUACCGGAUAUGAGCUACCUUCGCAUGGGGGUGGUUGGAAAGUUUUUCGGUCAGGGAUGGGCUCGCGGCCUAUCAGCGUUGUUGGUGGGGUGAUGGCCUACCAAGGCGACGACGGGUAGCCGGCCUGAGAGGGCGACCGGCCA
rnacentral:rRNA from 1 species